GACCUUUUAAAAUCUUUUCUGGUGCUUCGAUUCUCGGCAGACAUGUUGCAUCCAGCCAUGAUCGGCGUCUUGGUGUUUGACAUCGUUAUAAUCGUGAUGGAGUGGAGUUAUAUUGUGGGCGAGAUAAUGAGAGUGGAUGAUGAUUGAAAACAAGGUUUAACACAACAGCAACCUUUAGGUUGUGUAGGUCAGAUGUAGGGGGAUACAAGCAUUUUUAAAAAUUGCAACAUCAUUGGAAAUACAGGAUAUGAUAUUGUGUUAAGGUCCAAGCAAUGAGUCUCAUGCACACCACAGGAAGGAAACUGAUACAGAACAACUGUCUCUUGCUAUGUGCUUCAAACCUAAAAUGGAAACCAAGAUGAUGACAAUGAAGCAAAAACAGGAAAAAAAAGGAGGAAUGAUGAAAACUGGAAUACAGAGUCAGUUUACUCCCAGGAAGAGUCCACAUCUACAAAACCAAAAUGACUGCCUCUUUGAAUUUUCCAAAAACAGGUCUUUUCCUAGUCAUGGAAUUUUAGUUAUAAUACCAUUAUUUACGUUGCUAUGAGUUUUAAUAAAUUAAAUCAAAUCCCUUUCUUUCUUUUCCUAUGAGUUUUAGUAAAUCAAAUCCAAACCCUUUUCCUUCAGUCCCUUUUUAAAGUAAACAUUUAAAAAGAUACAAUAAGUAGGACUUUUGCAUUUGAUUUCUAAAGAAAGCCAGACAUUUUCCCCGACAGGUAAUGUCCAAUCUGUAUAACAUAAGGUGAGAUUUGACCCCAGUUUAUCCUGCUCUAAUUCCUGCUCCAGAAAGCUGAGAAAGCUUUUCUCAUGUCCAGGGUGGAUCAUGAUAAUGUACAGUAAUGUAAUAUACCAUACAGUAUGUAAUUUACUUUAAAUUAAUUAGAGUAAUGUUUAAGUCAAACUGGAACUUUUGAUUGUGCAGAACUUUUAUUAGAGUAAAAACUACCCAUAUUUCUCUAUAUAAUGCCCUGCUACAAUAAUGUACUUUACCCAGUAUUUAGUAGUGCUUGGAUACCAUCAAGGUGGAACCAUUUCUGAAACGCUGGACUCCCAGGAACUCCUUUAAUGGCCUAAACAUGUAUUUUCACUAUAAUAAUAAAACCAGAUAAAGUCAAAUGUUAUACUGUGGCUAUAAGUGUUUCAUCACCAUACUGUUUUUUUUAAAUGUCAGUUAUUAAUGAGAAAUUUCAUCAGUCCUGACUUGAAUGCCCUUUAAAUAUUAUACUAGAAUGAUGGUCAAAAUCUACAAUGUAUCAAUACCCAGUUCUUAAAAAAAAAAAAAAAAGGGAAAAAUUCUGUAAAAUGACUAAAAAUAAGAAUCCAUUGAAAACCUUUCCAAUUCUCUCCAUUCCUACUUUUUUGUUGGCGUGAGCCACCACUGCCCCCAGGUCUAUGGAUUUAUGUUAUAAUUCGUAGUGCUCUGUAGAAUAAAAGUGCAACCUGUAUGUAAUAAUAUUCGUGUCUGUAAAAAGUACUGUAUUAUCUGUGUAACAGAUGCUUGAUCAGUUUCUUAACUGUUAACUGUUUAGUAAACAAAUACUCUGACUCAU